rnacentral:misc_RNA from 1 species
AAAUUAACGGAUCUUUGGUUCCAUCAAAAGUUGUGAAAUCCAGCUUAGUGUACCGUGUAACAACUCCUGUUACGGGUCGCCCUUCUACUCUUUCUUUGGUUCUGUUAAGCAUGUGAUUAUUGCUAUUGCCCAUUCCUCCAUUGGAUUCUCUUCCUCGGCUUCUACUAGUACCAUUAAGAAUUUCCUUAAAUUGUUGAGAUAAAAGCUGUAAUUG